UACGUAGGAGGCAAGCGUUGUCCGGAGUUACUGGGCGUAAAGCGCACGCAGGCGGUCGUGUCAGUCUGGGGUGACAGUUUCCGGCUUAACCGGAAAAGGACUCUGGAAACUGCACGACUUGAGGGCUUCAGAGGGAUGUGGAAUUCCAGGUGGAGUGGUGAAAUGCGUAGAUAUCAGGAGGAACACCUGUGGCGAAAGCGGCUCACUGGACCAUAACUGACGCUGAUGCACGAAAGCUAGGGGAGCAAACAGG
rnacentral:rRNA from 1 species